GAUGAACGCUGGCGGCGUGCCUAAUACAUGCAAGUCGAGCGAACAGACGAGGAGCUUGCUCCUCUGACGUUAGCGGCGGACGGGUGAGUAACACGUGGAUAACCUACCCAUAAGACUGGGAUAACUUCGGGAAACCGGAGCUAAUACCGGAUAAUAUGUUGAAUCGCAUGGUUCAACAGUGAAAGACGGUCUUGCUGUCACUUAUAGAUGGAUCCGCGCCGCAUUAGCUAGUUGGUAAGGUAACGGCUUACCAAGGCAACGAUGCGUAGCCGACCUGAGAGGGUGAUCGGCCACACUGGAACUGAGACACGGUCCAGACUCCUACGGGAGGCAGCAGUAGGGAAUCUUCCGCAAUGGGCGAAAGCCUGACGGAGCAACGCCGCGUGAGUGAAGAAGGUCUUCGGAUCGUAAAACUCUGUUAUUAGGGAAGAACAAAUGUGUAAGUAACUAUGCACGUCUUGACGGUACCUAAUCAGAAAGCCACGGCUAACUACGUG
rnacentral:rRNA from 1 species